CCUACGGGAGGCAGCAGUAGGGAAUUUUNCCCCAAUGGGCGCNAGCCUGAUGGAGCAACGCCGCGUGAAUGAAGAAGGUCUUCGGAUCGUAAAGUUCUGUUAUUAGAGAAGAACCACGUGUAAGAGUAACUGGUUAUGCGUUGACGGUAUCUAAUCAGCAAGUCACGGCUAACUACGUGCCAGCAGCCGCGGUAAUACGUAGGUGGCAAGCGUUGUCCGGAUUUAUUGGGCGUAAAGGGAACGCAGGCGGUCUUUUAAGUCUGAUGUGAAAGCCUUCGGCUUAACCGGAGAUGUGCAUUGGAAACUGGAAGACUUGAGUGCAGAAGAGGAGAGUGGAACUCCAUGUGUAGCGGUGAAAUGCGUAGAUAUAUGGAAGAACACCAGUGGCGAAAGCGGCUCUCUGGUCUGUAACUGACGCUGAGGUUCGAAAGCGUGGGUAGCGAACAGGAUUAGAUACCCUGGUAGUCCACGCCGUAAACGAUGAAUGCUAGGUGUUGGAGGGUUUCCGCCCUUCAGUGCCGCAGCUAACGCAAUAAGCAUUCCGCCUGGGGAGUACGACCGCAAGGUUGAAACUCAAAUGAAUUGACGGGG
rnacentral:rRNA from 1 species